UAGUUUGUCACGACCCAAAUCGAUGGGCCACGACAGGCACCCGACACCUUACUCAACCGGGUACCAACGUAACGUAUCUUUCGUAUCAUACUAUCAUAGGUAAUUGAGCCGGAGAGGCUGUCGUGAGAUAAGUAGAAUAAAACAUGAGGAAAUAUUCAAUAUAAGGUGACCCAACUUGAUAUACCGACUUAUACAUAUUACGUACUGGCCUAUAAGGCCAUACCAGUAUCCGUAUAUAUGACAUAGGUCUACAAGCCUCUAAGAGUAUAUAAAUAUCAUAAAGGUCGGGACAGAGCCCCGCCAUACUAAACAAUACAUAUUCAAAUUAUACUGACCAAAUAGGCAACUCCGGAGCAAGUGGAGUGCACAAAUACCUUCUGCUGAGCUGAUAACCUACUAGGAGAACUCUCAACCUGUCUAUCGGGACCUGCAAGCAUGAAACGCAACGUCCCCAGGCAAAAAGGGACGUCAGUACAAAUAAAGUACCGAGUAUAUAAGGCAUGACGGUAGUAUAUAAAAGACAUGAAAGAAACAUGGAGUAAAGAACUCAACCUGAAAUUCUGAAUAGCUCUGUGAAUUAUGAAAAUUUAUAAUGUCAUGCAUGUACGUAUAAAUGUCAUACCAUGCAUAGGUAUAUGUGUACAUAACAUCAUCAAGCUUAUGAGGGUAUCCCAUCAUAUCAUUUCAGCCAUCGUGGGCAAAAUCAUCAACGUAUACCAGCUGAUCAGGUGUUGGUGCGUAUAUAACGCCUUAAUCUUUUUCGUAUCCCAUAUACAUAUAAUAUACGCGUAUAUAACGUAUUCUGGUCAUGGGUCAAUGUACAUGUAUAAAUGCAUGAAAUGCAUAAGAAGUACGUUAAUAAGAUUUCUCGAAUAUCAUAAAAUUAAUAUGCCUUUUGGACAAACUUUACCAAAUACGUAUUUUUCUGAGACCCAUGAAUAGAGGAUAUAAUAAAAAUUCACAUAGGGAAUCAAGAAUAUAGACAUCCCUAGUAUUUCUAUGAAUAGAGUCAUUUAUGAAAGUUGCGUAUUUGCUCGUUUCGUUUGUAUCGUACGGAUCAUGCCAAAAGGAAAGAAGGGAUAGCCUUAACAUACCUUAACUCCGUUGAGUCCUAAAUACCUUCCAAGAAAUUCUUCAAACAACUUAAUUCAAUCUACCACAUCAUAAGGAGAUUCAAAAUCAGUGCUGAGUAAAUGCUAACUCCGCAACUUAAACUAGUAGUUCGUUUACGUAAAUUUGGGCAGCAUCUCCCCUGUAACUAGGCCCUCCUCCAAUACCAUAUACCAACAACAACAAGAACACAACAAUAACAACAUGUGAGCAUCAUUUUCCAACCUUAUCUCCAUCAUAAUAUACCACAAAACAGCCCACACACCCUAAUCACUUCAUACAUAAAACGACAACCAAAGUAGUGUCAAACAACUUAAAAUAAUAUAACGAUGAACGACCAGCCCACCAUUCUGUCAUUAUGUGGUAUUUCUCCACACCAUUUAUCCUCCAAAAACUUCAUUAAACAGUAAAAAAAUAUACAGCCCAAAGGCAAUACGAAACAACCCACAAAACAGUCAACUACAAGUCAAAUAACUCGAACUCACAACUUCCGAUCACCGUCCCGUGAGUUCUAACUAUUAGAAAAUGAAUUUAUCAACCUUCCUUGAUAUUUAAACACUUAAAUACAGAUAGUAUACAUUUUCUUAACUAUGAAUUACCUUCCAAAACUCAAACCACAAAGAAAAAGAGAAGCGAUAUAGCGAUACUUACAUCGUAGGGAUCGUUUUAAUGUUAUCGCUUCUUGAUUCCGUGCCCGGGAUGAUAAUAUUGUUUGAAGCUCUUAUAGAGAGCUUAAGAGUAAAGUUAGGGGUGUUAUUUGGGCGAGCUCUCUGGAAAAUUGGAG
rnacentral:lncRNA from 1 species